rnacentral:rRNA from 1 species
AAUCAACGCUGGCGGCGUGCCUAACACAUGCAAGUCGCACGAGAAAGGGACUUCGGUCCUGAGUACAGUGGCGCACGGGUGAGUAACACGUGAAUAAUCUACCUCCGAGUGGGGAAUAACUGAGAGAAAUCUUAGCUAAUACCGCAUAACACUUACGAGUCAAAGCAGCAAUGCGCUUGGAGAGGAGUUCGCGGCAGAUUAGUUAGUUGGCAGGGUAAUGGCCACCAAGACGAUGAUCUGUAUCCGGCCUGAGAGGGCGCACGGACACACUGGGACUGAAACACGGUCCAGACUCCUACGGGAGGCAGCAGUGGGGAAUUUUGCGCAAUGGGGGAACCCUGACGCAGCAACGCCGCGUGGAGGAUGAAAUCCCUUGGGAUGUAAACUCCUUUCGAUCGGGAAGAUAAUGACGGUACCGAGAGAAGAAGCCCCGGCUAACUUCGUGCCAGCCGCCGCAGU